UACGAAGGGGGCUAGCGUUGCUCGGAAUCACUGGGCGUAAAGCGCACGUAGGCGGCUUUUUAAGUCAGGGGCGAAAUCCUGGAGCUCAACUCCAGAACUGCCUUUGAUACUGGGAAGCUUGAGUCCGGGAGAGGUGAGUGGAACUCCGAGUGUAGAGGUGAAAUUCGUAGAUAUUCGGAAGAACACCAGUGGCGAAGGCGGCUCACUGGCCCGGUACUGACGCUGAGGUGCGAAAGCGUGGGGAGCAAACAGG
rnacentral:rRNA from 1 species